rnacentral:rRNA from 1 species
GAUGAACGCUGGCGGCGUGCCUAAUACAUGCAAGUCGAGCGAACAGAUGAGGAGCUUGCUCCUCUGACGUUAGCGGCGGACGGGUGAGUAACACGUGGAUAACCUACCUAUAAGACUGGGAUAACUUCGGGAAACCGGAGCUAAUACCGGAUAAUAUAUUGAACCGCAUGGUUCAAUAGUGAAAGACGGUUUUGCUGUCACUUAUAGAUGGAUCCGCGCCGCAUUAGCUAGUUGGUAAGGUAACGGCUUACCAAGGCAACGAUGCGUAGCCGACCUGAGAGGAUGAUCGGCCACACUGGAACUGAGACCCGGUCCAGACUCCUACGGGAGGCAGCAGUAGGGAAUCUUCCGCAAUGGGCGAAAGCCUGACGGAGCAACGCCGCGUGAGUGAUGAAGGUCUUCGGAUCGUAAAACUCUGUUAUUAGGGAAGAACAAAUGUGUAAGUAACUAUGCACGUCUUGACGGUACCUAAUCAGAAAGCCACGGCUAACUACGUG